rnacentral:rRNA from 1 species
CCAGGAAAAGCCUCUAAGCAUCAGGUAACAUGAAAUCGUACCCCAAACCGACACAGGUGGUCAGGUAGAGAAUACUCAGGCGCUUGAGAGAACUCGGGUGAAGGAACUAGGCAAAAUGGUGCCGUAACUUCGGGAGAAGGCACGCUGGCAUUAGGUAAAGGGACUUGCUCCCGGCGCCGAAGCCAGUCGCAGAUACCAGCUGGCUGCAACUGUUUAAUAAAAACACAGCACUGUGCAAACACGAAAGUGGACGUAUACGGUGUGACGCCUGCCCGGUGCUGGAAGGUUAAUUGAUGGGGUCAGCCGCAAGGCGAAGCUCUUGAUCGAAGCCCCAGUAAACGGCGGCCGUAACUAUAACGGUCCUAAGGUAGCGAAAUUCCUUGUCGGGUAAGUUCCGACCUGCACGAAUGGCGUAAUGAUGGCCAGGCUGUCUCCACCCGAGACUCAGUGAAAUUGAACUCGCUGUGAAGAUGCAGUGUACCCGCGGCAAGACGGAAAGACCCCGUGAACCUUUACUAUAGCUUGACACUGAACAUUGAGCCUUGAUGUGUAGGAUAGGUGGGAGGCAUAGAA